UCUUGGGUUCACUCCUUCUUAAAUAAAAGAAACAAAAUCAAUGUAAUUCAACCUAAUUUUUUUUGUUGAUUUUACUAAAUAAGUUACAUCGCUGAAUUGUUAAGUUAUCUAACGGAAAAAUUAUCGGUUUAAUCAAACCAUUUAACAGUCUGAAUAAUUUGGCUUAUUUAACAAAAAUCUAUAACCAGAUAUCACGUGACGUCGAUCCGGAAAUGAAUGAGCCUUGAAACUGCUUUGGGGUGAGGGUACCAUGAAGCCAAAGCUUUACAAUCCCAUCACGUUUCUGCCACACGAGAUCAUUGUCAUCGGCUGGGAGG